rnacentral:lncRNA from 1 species
UUAGAUUUCAACUCAAGGGAAAUUUUUCUAUCAAAGAAUGUAGUAUUUUAUGAAAACAUAUUUCCUUUUCUUACUAGUGACAAACACUCACCUAUUGAUACACAAAAUUUAAAUUCAUUGGAUUUGGUCACCAAAAUCAAUUCAUCUCCAUCACAUCUUUUCUCAGAAGUUACUGAUCAACCCUCUUUACCACCUUGAUGAGUGCAUAUUUAUGCCCACAUUUAUGCUUUAAAAUUCAAAUUUUUGAUGAGAUAUUUGUGCUUAAAUGGUUGAUUUAAAGUGAAUCUGUGUGAAGUUGAAUUGUUGGGUUUUGGAAUUAAAGAGGCGUUAAAAAGUGAUUUUAAUUGCAUGAAUUAUUCUUGGAUGUUCUAAUAUUUAUUUGUGCAGCUGAAAUUAGAGUUUUAUUGGUCCAAAUUGCAAUUUAAGGUCCAAAAUCAGAAUUAUG